AGAAGGGGGCCGACUCCGUUAGGCGUGGCCUGGCGCGGGGUGGGGUGGGGGUAUAAUCUCAUUCUUUUCGCUGUAGCGAGGCAGUCAAGGGGAGCUGCCUCCGCCGUAGCGUUGGUGGCUGCCGCUGUUGUUGUUACGUGGGAGUGGCGGGCCCGUGAGUGCCUAAAUGCGGGCCGCGGUCCCCCUGGAAGUCAGGGCAAUUUGCAUUGCUGAGUCCUGGAUAUUUGGAGCCUUUUGCUGCAGCUGAUAGGGAGGAAAAAAGGGGGAAGCUGUCCUGCACCAGUUGUUUCUUGUAAAAGGGGAGAAAUAUCGGACACGGAUUUGGGAUCAUUUGUCCAAGUGCUUCCUCCUGAAAAGGCUUCUGAAACAAUUAUUCAGCAUCCGAGAAGUGAAUUGCAAGUUGAAGUCAUGAGCUUUUUCUUUCUAGCAGUGCAGAGCACCUCACCCUUGGACACUUUUGUCCACGUGGCAUGGAUACACAGCUAAAUUUAUUAAGUUCUGAAUACUUUGCCUGCCAAAGUAAAAUGCUGUUUUGCGUUUAGUUACUUUUUUCUUCCAUGCACGUUCUGAGUCAUAGCCAUAACCUGUUCUCUUGACUCCAAGCUAAAUGCAGCCCAAGUCACUGUGUAGAUGUUGCUGAAAAGUUUCAUGGCAGAUAUUUUUACACCUAUUCUUUGAUAUAGUCUACGGUCAUUUUGCAAUGAGACCUACUUUCUAAAUCGAGUGGCUGAUAUACAUUUACUUAUAAUUCUUUCUUUUAUAUUUCAUUUAAUAUUUUUAGUGAAAAAUGUUUUUGCCAAUAAACAAUAUGGUGGUAUCCAGAUAGCUGUUGUUUACAAAUGCCUCUGUUACCUGAAGCUAGGAAAUGUUCCUCAGUUCAGAUUUGAAAUUUGGAUUUUUGGUUUCAUCGGCUGUGGUAUAAAAAGGUAUAUUUGUUUCACCUGUAGUUGAUGCUUCUUAUAGUGAAAUGUACAUGGAAUAGACAAACGAACAAACUGUCAGAGGGACAAAUAAACACUUCUUAAGGCAGAGACUUUGCGAAUUUUGGAAAUAGUCUUGCAGAAUCUGUGAGCAGGAAGGAUGGUUAGCUGAUUUCUAUGAAGUCAAAUCUAUGUCAAACAGCUAUGAAUGUAGUAUUGAUGAGAACUCUGGAUAUUAUCUUGAGGGAAAGAAACUGGAAAAAUAUAAGUCGUGCAGUAGUAAUACCUCAUGCAGCCGUCUUGGACUAGGUUUGCUUUCAGCUGAAUUACUACUGCUUUGAAGAAAAUUAGGAUGGACAGAACAACUUAUUUCAGAAGUCAGAGGUUCUUGUGAAGACUCCAAAGUGCAAAAGCAGCCCUGGUGAUUUUGUUACAUAAUGUAUGCAGAACUGGGUGGUGAUGCUAGUGCACUAAUGCUUCAGCUUUUGGACUUCAAACCUUGCAGAGGACAAGAGAUUAGCAUUUAUCCAGUUUUCUGCUAAAUGGUAAUGCAAGUGUAGGAUUUCAAGCAGAAAGAACCUGGUUGUAGUUUACGUUCAAAUAAGAACUUAUUCUCUGUUAGAAAAUAGUUAGCUUUUUUUUUUUUUCAAUUAUAUUUUUGGUGCAGUGCAAAAAGCAAAAACUUCUUUGGAUAAAAGUAAUGGUCAAGGUAUUCUAAGCUCUCAUUAAUUUUGGCUUUUUAAAACAUUUCCUAAAAUAUGUCUUGAUUUUUGUAACAAUAAUAUUUGAUUCACAGAAGUGUUAUUAACCCUAUUGCUUUUGAACCAUAUUUAUAUAUGUAAAGGGUACCAUACAAUAAGGAGCAAGUGGUUGGGAUUUUUAGAACACCAGUGUCCCACCAAGUCUGCCAACAUUCUAGAUCUUAAUAUUAAACAAAGAUAGUAAGUGCACUUUAGCUGAUUCAUCCUCACUUAAGGAACUGAGGUCCUAAGUUGAAAUGAAGGUGGAUUUUUCUUACAUGUUUUUGUUUGUAUUUGCUAAGUCACUGUAAAGCUAGGUUUUAGGGCCGUGUCUAUAUUAGAGGAUGUGUUGGCUUUUUAUGGUUAAAAACUUGACUGUUAGAAUUUGAUUCAAUAUGCUUUUCACACCCUGGCAUGUCAUAAAACUCUUGGAAGUGCUCAAAUUUGACAGAGGACUUUGUCCCAUCCAUAUUGUUCUGCAGGAAGCCUUAGUUAUCACACUUGUUUUUUUUAAAGAUAAGACAAGAAGGUAAAUUAAAGAAACAAAUGGAUAUUUUUUUCCUCAUUGUCCACUGUUAGAAUGCUCAUCAGAACAGUUCUCUAUUGGAUGCUGAUACAAUCCAGUUUAAACCCAGAAGGGCAAAGAAAACAAAAUCUCUGUGUAUAAAAUGGAAAGAACUUUGAAGGUUCAAAAUAUACCCAAGAAACAUGAUUAAAACAAAACGAAGUUGGAUAUCAAUGCCAAAAGUUUGAUAUAUUUUAUUUAAUAGUAAAAGAGACAAAAAAAGAAAGAAAGAGAAAGAUGUGGGAGGGUGGGAGGACAGGGAGAGAGUGACAGGGGUUAGGUAGAAAUAUAUCACCCUUUCGGGGGUCCCAGUGACAUCCCAUUGCUUCCCUCCAUCUGGUCUUCUGGUGGUGAGAGUCACCCACCACCAUCACACCAAAGAGUAUAGAAUCGAGUGGAUUAAUAGAUGUUUUAGACCAGGUGGGAACACCCACGUGCCUCCCUUGCAGGGAGCCAGUUUGACACCAUCCUUUGCAAUACUAUGGAUCUGUUGCAUCAUCUGCAGUGCUCAGGUGCAGGGUCUGGGGACCCUUGAGGGCGCCUUUGAUGGGCCGUGACACCCCCUCUGCUGUGGAUAAGCUUUUCCUGGGUGAAGGGGCCCCUUAGCUGAGCUGGUCUGCACAGCAGAUGGGUGUUAAUUUGGCCUCUGACCAGAGGCUUUUCCAACACACACCCAAAGCCUCUCUUCCCCCCACCCUUUGGUGUGAGGGUCUGGCAGCUGAUAGCCCUGGGGCUGUGGUCUCCAUUCCAAAAGUGUUAAGCCUGUGCUCUGUGAAUGUAUCCUUUUCCCCAGCCCUGAGUUGUUACUUUAUCUUAUCUUCAUCAGCGAGCAGUCCAGGGCUCCAGUCAGAAGGCCUAUUCAGGGUG